AGAGUUUGAUCCUGGCUCAGAUUGAACGCUGGCGGCAUGUCUUACACAUGCAAGUCGAACGGCAGCACGAGGGAGCUUGCCGUCCCGGGUGGCGAGUGGCGCACGGGUGAGUAAUACAUCGGAACGUGUCCUGUUGUGGGGGAUAACUGCUCGAAAGGGUGGCUAAUACCGCAUGAGACCUGAGGGUGAAAGCGGGGGAUCGCAAGACCUCGCGCAAUUGGAGCGGCCGAUGCCCGAUUAGCUAGUUGGUGAGGUAAAGGCUCACCAAGGCGACGAUCGGUAGCUGGUCUGAGAGGACGACCAGCCACACUGGGACUGAGACACGGCCCAGACUCCUACGGGAGGCAGCA
rnacentral:rRNA from 1 species